rnacentral:lncRNA from 1 species
UCCAAUAAUGGUAGCAGCUAUACUCAGAACUUCAAUUAAAGAGGGAGAAGAUAAAAUUAUCUGGAUGAGAGACAGAAAAAGAACAUAUAUAGUAGCAUUCUAUAGCUUGGCAUUCGAGUUUUUUCAUUCUCCACUUGAAUUUCUCUCCGGACAGUGUGGCGGCAAUGAACUCUGGUCUGCAAUUUGGGAGUUCAAAUGUCAACCAGAAAUCAAGAAUUUCUGAUGAAAAGUGGUGUAUGAUGGUUUACUUGUAAAGUGAAAACUGUACGGAAGAAUCCAUUGAAUCUAACCACUUUGUUCACAGUGCCAAGUUGAAGAUGAGUCCAUUUAUUACUGUCUUUGUGGAUGUUCAUUGUUCAGAUGCAAUUGAAGUCUGGAAAGCCAACUCCAUAUUUGUCCCAACUCAACUUAAAGAACCAUGGAGGUGGUGGUUAAGAUUUAUAAACACGGUAGAAAAAGAAAGAAGAGGAGAAGACAGAACAACUUUGGCCGUUUAUUCAGCAUAGUGGAUUUGGAGAACAAAGAACGAAUUCACCUUUGAAAAAGUUAGAAGAUCUACCCUCUUAGUUGCAGAGUUUGCUCGUCGAGCUAUAGAAGAAGGAAGAAGAUCCAUAUGAAUUCAUUCUCUCUCUCCCUCCCUCUUUUUGCGCUGUUCUGACCCUUGAAAGAAGAUGAAAAUUCUAUCUGAUAACAUUCUCUUUCUCUAAUGCUUGGUCUUUGAGUUUUUUUUGUUGGAUCAUUUUCAUUUUUCCCCUAUGCUUGUAGUCCUAAGUGAACCAUACAUUUCAUUUUAGUUUUAAAAUAAAAUCAUCUACCUUUGAGGGGAAAAAAA